GACGUAGGAGGCGAGCGUUGUCCGGAUUCAUUGGGCGUAAAGAGCACGCAGGCGGUUUGGCAAGUCGGAUGUGAAAACCCGGAGCUCAACUCCGGACCUGCAUCCGAAACUGCCCGACUAGAGGUAGGUAGGGGAGAUCGGAAUUCCUGGUGUAGCGGUGAAAUGCGCAGAUAUCAGGAGGAACACCGGUGGCGAAGGCGGAUCUCUGGGCCUUACCUGACGCUCAGGCGCGAUAGCGUGGGGAUCAAACAGG
rnacentral:rRNA from 1 species